rnacentral:misc_RNA from 1 species
AACAAAACUCCAGCCUGGCUGGGUAUUGAGCCUUGGAUAAGAGUUCGGGCUUCAAAUGCGUCGGCUAUAAAUUAGUAAAUGGGGAGUGCUGUAGCAUGGUGCCGCGAAUAUCGACAAAUAUACGCUGGCGCGAAGUUUGUAAACCCCUGCCUUGCGCGUUCGCAUCGGUGACUCGGACCGAACAA